UCUUCAGUCUUUACAGAACUCUGGAUUUUUUUCAUUGUUUGUUUUAAAUUUUUAUCAGUGGCCUUCUUUUUAGUACUCUCGUGGUUGUGGUGCUUCUUGUAUUUACUAUGGUACAAACUAUCUUCUUUAUCCUGAAUCCUAUUAUUAAUUAUUUUUGAACUGUGAGCAGUUAGCUGGAGCAGAUAGAUUGACCUCUAUUUUCUUAAUCAAUAGUAAAUAUAUAUUGUCAUACUCUACUUUUUUACAAAUAUAUAAGAAUGCUUUAGGUCAAGUAUUAUUUGUCAAUCAGACUUGGAGAUGGUGGUCAAUCAGUUAGGCCAAGUAUUUUUUUCAUAUAUAUUAGGGAUGUAUAGAUAUUGUACAUGACUUGACCUGUAACCCAGGCCUUGUAUGGCUAUAUAUAUGAAAGGUGACCCAACCCUAAGGUUGUGUCUUUUUUCUCUUUCUAUCUCUCUACUCUACAUGGUAUCAUGAAUCUGGGUUUUACCCUACUUCUUCCACUGCCCUAGCUCUUGAGCCACGCCGCGACUUCCCUCACAUCACCACAUAUAUGGGCAUUUUCCCACACGAACCUGUGCAAAUAGCUUCCAAGAUGGAAGAAAGAAACAGAUGAAGCAAUUAAUGGAAAGUAAUACACUCGGUACUUAGUUCAGACUCCUUAUAUUCAAUCAUGUUUACUGUUUUUCUUCAUGGCUAGAUAAUGGCCUGUGCGUUGCAACGGGCACAAAAAAUUGCCGGAGACAAAAGUUCUUCCAAACAAAUGACAUGCAAAUUAAAACACAUGUACACAGAUUAUGGUAUAUGUCUACAGGCCAAAUUAAGAUUUUUCAGCAUCUUUGGGAGCAAACGACGACUUCAGUUCAAGAAUUAUGGUAUACUUUCCUUUGGAUGUUCAAGUAAAAUAUAAGUGGAGGCUCAAGCCACUUGUCACUGGCACAUAAAGCAGUUCAGCGCACUCCAUUUAAUAAUGUAAAAUCAGUAAACAGUACAAGUAAGCUCACAGGCUAUCUACUCAAGCAAGGAACCACACAAACCCUUUAGAUGCUGCUCACAUGUGAACCAUCUCAACAGUGCCAAAUCAAAGGCACUGGACACUGGGCAGGUUUAAAUCAGGGUGCGUCAGUCAGCAAGUCAAUUUGCACCGACUUUUAGCUCAAAUGUUUGAGGAGCAGAAAAUGCAUCAGGCGUUAUCACGAGGGAUUGAUUAUAUCUGAACAAAUUGAUAAUAGCAUGGCAGCUCUUUUAAUAUAUAUCCACAUUGUAAUGGCAGAGAUUUCCAGGCAUACAACUUAAUCCAGCCAAAUCUUAUCGUCUCCCUCCUGCAGAACCGGUCGCACGGCCUCACGUCGCUAACCAGGCGGCGGCAGGUCGAUUCUUCUACUGGCGUGGCCCCUCCGCAGCGGCAGCGAUGCUUGGCGGCAGCCUUCCCCUGCUAGCACCCCCGACUGGAAGCCUCUCUCCUCUCGUCCCGUCGAGCAGGAGAGCUGCCACCCAACUCUGGCGGCGGCCCCUCCCAGUGGCCAAACCCGGGUGACCUCUCGGUCUCUCCUAUUGCACCAAGGAGCACUGGCGCGCGUGCAGAGCUCCGGGCGGGGCAGCGAGCUUCCCAGCUCCAUGCUGGGCAGGUGGCAUCGCAACUGCGUGCGCGGACAGAGCUCCGAUGAGCCUUUUUAUUUCCCGUUUCCUGAUGCAGCCGCUGUGAUGCACCCGCAUCAUUCGUGGGAGCUCGCUACAGGCGGAGCCUCCCCACUUCGAGGGCAGCCGCGACCUGCUGCAGCUCUCACGUGCAUAUGACAGUUAUAUUCUCGGCUGUUCCGAGUUAUACAUGUAACCACUAUGGAUGCUUGUGGCCCACAUGUCCUGGAAGCUCCCUGUGGCGUGCCCAGGCAGCCGGCCAUCGGGCCUUUUUCUCAACCA